rnacentral:lncRNA from 1 species
UGAGUGCGCAACUGAAAUGAAGAAGGCACGUCUAGAGAAAAGGGAGAGUAUAAAAGUGUAAGUCAAAAUAGUUGAGAUCUCUUCCUUUGAAAAGAAGUUUUUCACUGAGUCUGAUCUGCUAAGAGUUACCACCAUGAGUAUUUUGAAAAGCAGAUUGAUGUAUAACUUGGAUCACAGCACUUAAAAGGUUUCUGAAGGGAUGAGUUGCAGUUACUUCAGUUUGUGAGCCUAGCUGACUACAGCCAGGAGAGCUUUUCAGCUGGUUGUAUCAAGACUGAGGAGUGGACAAUGUAACUUUGAACAGCUGAGAAUUUUUUUUAAAAGUGAAGAAUGGAAAAUACAUGAAAUAUCAGACAGUUUGGCACUUAAAGCAGACAGAAGACAGCAAGAGGAAUCGUGAUAUAAUAAAUACAUGGGGGAAAGAAGAAAGAGAAACAGCUAAGCAGUCAGCGAGCAACCUUUUCGGGAGCCAGCCCUACCACAUAUGUGCUUUGAGAGCUGAACAAUGCUCAGCAGCCGCAUCCACUUCCAUUCAGAGGCGCAGCCGUCGGACAGGCAGUUUCUCACUGCAUGACUCUGCUGAUGGACAAAAGAGAUGCCUGAUCCCCUCAAGCACUAGAUACUCAAUUUUCCACAUUGCUUAA